rnacentral:lncRNA from 1 species
UGAAUUUAAGUAUGCUCUCUCUAAUUCUCUCUUUCUCUCUUUCUUUCUCUCUCUCGGAGGACCUGAGCCCUAGGACCAUGCCUCAGGACUACCUGACAUGAUGACUCCUUGCUGUCCCCAGUCCACCUGGCCGUGCUGCUGAUCCAGUUUCAACUGUUCUGCCUGUGGCUAUGGAACCCUGACCUGUUCACCGGACGUACCUGUCCCAGACCUGCUGUUUUCAACUCUCUAGAGACAGCAGGAGCGGCAGAGCAGGCAACAGAUGGCACACAGACAGCAGAGUUGGGGACAGAUAUGCAGGGACAGACUGGCAGAGACAGGGAGUCUCAGGUAAGUUUGUUGAGUCUUUGUUUGGCAACAUUAUGAAAGGUUAUCAAUUUUUUUAAACUUGUAAAAUAGGAACAUAAUUGGAAAAUUCCAUGGGUACCCCCACUCUCAACUUAAACUGGCGACUGAACUAAGAUUUGUUAAAGGCAAUGGUAUUGCUGUUGUGAUUAGUUGUGUAGUUUUGGGUACCGGUAGUUAGGAGUACGGCAAAC